UACGAAGGGGGCAAGCGUUGUUCGGAAUUACUGGGCGUAAAGGGCGCGUAGACGGCCGAUCAAGUCAGGCGUGAAAUUCCCGGGCUCAACCUGGGGGCUGCGCUUGAUACUGAUUGGCUUGAAUGCGGGAGAGGAUAGUGGAAUUCCCAGUGUAGAGGUGAAAUUCGUAGAUAUUGGGAAGAACACCGGUGGCGAAGGCGGCUAUCUGGCCCGUAAUUGACGCUGAGGCGCGAAAGCGUGGGGAGCAAACAGG
rnacentral:rRNA from 1 species